rnacentral:lncRNA from 1 species
UGCUUUCUCUCUCAUUCCUCACACAUCUCACAAAACAACAUCAGAUCUUCUCUCUCUCUUCUCUCUCUCUCUCUCGGCGAUCUAGGGUUUCAUGAGAUCUAUCACCAGAUCCGUUUGAAUCUAUCACCAGAUCCGUUUGAUGAGCAGAUCUAGGGUUUCAUGAGAUCUAUCACAAGCUUUAUCUGGCAACUUGGGAUCCACAGAUUUGAACAAGGGAUCCACAGAUUUGCUGGAGAAUGGCCGGAAUCAGGUGAUUGUGUGUCCAUUUGA